rnacentral:tRNA from 1 species
GGGAAUGUGGCUUAGUGGUAAAGUGUUUGCCUAGCGUGCAUGAAGCCCUAGGUUCAAUUCCUUGGUACCA